rnacentral:lncRNA from 1 species
CAGGGAUCUGGAUAUGGAGAGAUGUUUACUCAUCUUGAGAAUAAAAUAAAACUUCUAGAAUUAGAAUUUAUGCAGAACCUCUAUUCUUCCUACAAACAAGAUUCCAAAUAGACAUUAAAUUCAUCUGGUUGUACAGCCAAUGUCAGUAACAACGGGCUCCUGCCCCUUAACCCCAGGAACUCUGCUCUCUGAAGCUUCAGCCUGUUUGGAUUUCUAAGCUGGUAUUCUAACAGAAGAUGAUUAAGGAGAUCCCUUCAACCAUCGAAAAAUACAUCUGAUAGCACUACACAAGAAGCUCUGGCUUUGGACGAGAUUACCGAAGCGUGGACUAUGAAUGGAGGAGAACAAAGGCGGAGGCAUCAUCAUUAAUCAAGGGUUUGCCUCCAUGAGGUUGAGGGUGCCGAGAGACUUUAUCAUUAGCAGCGUCUGUGCCUCUGCUGGACUCCAGGUUCGCAAUCUCCUUCAUCUGCACAAGGCGAACAUCUAG